rnacentral:rRNA from 1 species
AUUGAAUGCUGGCGGCGUGCUUAACACAUGCAAGUCGAUCGGUAACGCGGGGGCAACCCUGGCGACGAGAGGCGGACGGGUGAGGAACGCUUGGGAAUCUGCCCUUCAGCGGGGGACAACCCGGGGAAACCCGGGCUAAUACCGCAUACGCUCCACGGAGGAAAGCCGGGGACCGCAAGGCCUGGCACUGAAGGAUGAGCCCAAGUCGGAUUAGCUAGUUGGCGGGGUAACGGCCCACCAAGGCGACGAUCCGUAGCUGGUCUGAGAGGACGAUCAGCCACACUGGGACUGAGACACGGCCCAGACUCCUACGGGAGGCAGCAGAGGGGAAUAUUGGACAAUGGGCGAAAGCCUGAUCCAGCGACGCCGCGUGGGUGAAGAAGGCCUGCGGGUUGUAAAGCCCUUUCGGUAGGGACGAAAGCCUCCGACCUAACACGUCGGGGGGUUGACUUAACCUACAAAAGAAGCACCGGCUAACUCUGUGCCAGCCGCCGCAGUAACAC